UCGGCUGCUACAGUCUCACUAGUAGUUUGUCGAGCGGUACGAAAGUAGCUUGCUACUUUGCCGGCGAGCGGCGGACGGGUGAGUAAUGUCUGGGAAACUGCCUGAUGGAGGGGGAUAACUACUGGAAACGGUAGCUAAUACCGCAUAACGUCGCAAGACCAAAGAGGGGGACCUUCGGGCCUCUUGCCAUCAGAUGUGCCCAGAUGGGAUUAGCUAGUAGGUGGGGUAACGGCUCACCUAGGCGACGAUCCCUAGCUGGUCUGAGAGGAUGACCAGCCACACUGGAACUGAGACACGGUCCAGACUCCUACGGGAGGCAGCAGUGGGGAAUAUUGCACAAUGGGCGCAAGCCUGAUGCACCCAUGCCGCGUGUAUGAAGAAGGCCUUCGGGUUGUAAAGUACUUUCAGCGGGGAGGAAGGCGUUGAGGUUAAUAACCACAGCGAUUGACGUUACCCGCAGAAGAAGCACCGGCUAACUCCGUGCCAGCAGCCGCGGUAAUACGGAGGGUGCAAGCGUUAAUCGGAAUUACUGGGCGUAAAGCGCACGCAGGCGGUCUGUCAAGUCAGAUGUGAAAUCCCCGGGCUCAACCUGGGAACUGCAUUCGAAUCUGGCAGGCUAGAGUCUUGUAGAGGGGGGUAGAAUUCCAGGUGUAGCGGUGAAAUGCGUAGAGAUCUGGAGGAAUACCCCGUGGCGAGGCGGCCCCCUGGACAAAGACUGACGCUCAGGUGCAAAGCGUGGGGAGCAAACAGGAUUAGAUACCC
rnacentral:rRNA from 1 species